AAGGCGUUCUGCUGUGUCGUGGGUAACUAUAUCAUUGCCUGUGCGAAAUAAAAGAUUCAGUUGUGACAAGUCUCCAGCGAUAAUGGCAAAGUUAUUGUUUGUCGUAGUUUUGACUGUGCUGUCAAUAUCUGCAUUUACAGAGGCGCAAUUCUUUUUCCAGUGUCCUCCAAACUGCCACGAUACUGAGUGCACAUCCAUGGGCUGUGUCACCUGUGACCCGGGCUACUGCAGAUACUACAGCACAACCAACAAAAUAGGCAUAUGCGUCCUUGCAUGCCCGACUGGAAUGCACUGUUACCAUGGUGUUCUCUCCGUCUGUACGAACGAUCAAAACUAACAACGGGAGGCCGGAAAUUAGGACCACCAAAAGAACUGCUGAACUCACCAUCGGAUUUCGGGCAUUCGUUAUGAUUGAGAGUUGAUAUGAUUUAUCACUUAUAAAAACAAUGAAUAAAUUAAUGCAAUAAACA